rnacentral:tRNA from 1 species
GGGCUUGUAGUUCAGCUGGUAGAACGCUGCCCUUGCAAGGCAGAGGCCACGGGUUCAAAUCCCGUCGAGUCCA